rnacentral:piRNA from 1 species
UGAGGAUCCCCUAGGCAAUGACUCUGG